GUACUAAUAAGUUUUGUAAGGGUAUAGUUUAUUUAAUUGAGUGAAAUUAGGCCAGUAGUCUUUCUGAAUGUGAUAGCUGAGAACUGUGAUUCUUCGCUCGAUCAAUUCUUGCCAUCACGCUCUGGCUUUAGCAUCUGCCGAGCACAUCUAAGCGAAAAAUAGAAAAAACUGGAUUUCAAUUGGAUACCCUUUUUCUCUGUUCCAGGUACAAGUCCUCCGAGCACAUCUAAGUGAAAAAUAGAAAAAACUGGAUUUCAAUUAGAUACCCUUUUUCUCUGUUCAAGGUACAAGUCAAGUUGAAUUUACAAA
rnacentral:lncRNA from 1 species